rnacentral:rRNA from 1 species
AGCGAACGCUGGCGGCAGGCCUAACACAUGCAAGUCGAACGAAGUCUUCGGACUUAGUGGCGGACGGGUGAGUAACACGUGGGAACGUACCUUUUGGUUCGGAACAACUCAGGGAAACUUGAGCUAAUACCGAAUGUGCCCUUAGGGGGAAAGAUUUAUCGCCAUUAGAGCGGCCCGCGUUAGAUUAGCUAGUUGGUGAGGUAAAGGCUCACCAAGGCUACGAUCUAUAGCUGGUCUGAGAGGAUGAUCAGCCACACUGGGACUGAGACACGGCCCAGACUCCUACGGGAGGCAGCAGUGGGGAAUCUUGCGCAAUGGGCGAAAGCCUGACGCAGCCAUGCCGCGUGAAUGAUGAAGGUCUUAGGAUUGUAAAAUUCUUUUAGCAGGGACGAUAAUGACGGUACCUGCAGAAAAAGCCCCGGCUAACUUCGUGCCAGCAGCAGCCGCAGUAA